rnacentral:rRNA from 1 species
AUCUACUGCCAUACCACCCUGAACGUGACCAAUCUCAUCUGAUCUUACAAGCUAAGCAGGGUCGGGCCUGGUUAGUAUUUGGAUAGGAGACACCCUGGGAAUUCUGGGUGCUGUAGGUU